rnacentral:rRNA from 1 species
UACGGAGGAGGCAAGCAUUAUCCGGAAUUAUUGGGCGUAAAGCGUCCGUAGGUGGUUUAGUAAGUCUGCUGUUAAAGCGCGGGGCUUAACUCCGUAUCGGCAGUGGAAACUACUAGACUAGAGUGUGGUAGGGGUAGAGGGAAUUCCCAGUGUAGCGGUGAAAUGCGUAGAUAUUGGGAAGAACACCGGUGGCGAAGGCGCUCUACUGGGCCAUAACUGACACUGAUGGACGAAAGCUAGGGGAGCGAAAGGG